AUUGAACGCUGGCGGCGGGCCUAACACAUGCAAGUCGAGCGGAGCGGCGGACGGGUGGUUAAUGCCUAGGAAUCUGCCUUGUAGUGUGGUAUCACUUCCGGACACGGACCCUAAUCCCGCAUACUUUCAGGGGAGCCUAGGUCGGCUUAGCUAGUUGGUGGGGUAAUGGCCUACCAAGGCGACGAUCCGUAACUGGUCUGAGAGGAUGAUCAGUCACACUGGAACUGAGACACGGUCCAGACUCCGACGGGAGGCAGCAGUGGGGAAUAUGGGACAAUGGGCGAAAGCCUGAUCAAGCCAUGCCGCGUGUGUGAAGAAGGUCUUCGGAUUGUAAAGCACUUUAAGUUGGGAGGCGGUACCAACAGAAUAAGCAACGGCUAACUUCGUGCCAGCAGCCGCGGUAAUAC
rnacentral:rRNA from 1 species